GAUUAAUUUAUAUUUAUUAAUUUUWWUWWAAAAAAAAAUAUUUUAUUAAAAAUAAUUAUAAAAUUAUUUGUUUUAGUAAUUUUUAAAGAAAAAAUAAAUUUAAUAAUAGUUAAAUAGUAUUGUGAAAGAAAAUUGAAAUAUUAUGAAAAAUUUUUAUUUUAAAAGAAAAUUUAAUUUAUUGUACCUUUUGUAUCAGGGUUUAUCAAAUAAAAAAUAAUUAUAUUUAUUUUUCUCGAUUUUAAAAGAUUUAAUAUAUUAAUAAAGUUAAUGUAAUAAAAUUAUUUUUAAUAAUAUAUUAGAAAUGAAAUGUUAUUCGUUUUUAAAGGUAUCUAGUUUUUUUAGAAAUAAAUUUAAUUUAUUAAUAGUAAAUUUAUUUAGUUAUUUAUUUAAUUAAAUAAUUUAUUAUUAAAAUAUUUUACGGGAUAAGCUGUAAAAUAAAGUUUUAAAAAUAAAUAAUUAAAUAUAUAAAUAUAUGCUUAUAAUUAGCAAUUAUUAAAAAGUUUGUUAUAAAAUAUUUAUUUUUAAAUUAUUAUUUAUUAUAUUUUUAAAUUUUUAUAAAAAUAUUUAUUUUAAUUAAUAAAAUAAAGAAAAAAUGAUAAAAUUAGUAUAUUUUUAUGUUUAUAUAAUUAAAAAUGAUAAGUUAAUGUAAAGAAUUCGGCAAAAUUAAUAUUCGCCUGUUUAACAAAAACAUGUCUUUUUGAAAUAAAUUUAAAGUCUGACCUGCCCACUGAUAUUAUUAAAUGGCCGCAGUAUUUUGACUGUGCAAAGGUAGCAUAAUCAUUAGUCUUUUAAUUGAAGGCUUGUAUGAAUGGUUGGACGAAAUAUUAACUGUUUCAUUUUAAUUUAUAAUAGAAUUUUAUUUUUUAGUCAAAAAGCUAAAAUUUAAUUAAAAGACGAGAAGACCCUAUAAAUCUUUAUAUUUUUAAUAAUUUUAAUUUUUAAGAUUUUUUUUAUUAUUAUUAUUAAAAAUAUUUUAUUGGGGUGAUAUUAAAAUUUAAAAAACUUUUAAUUUUUAAAAUCAUUAAUUAAUGAAUAAUUGAUCCUGUAAUAUAGAUUAAUAGAAUAAGUUACUUUAGGGAUAACAGCGUAAUUUUUUUGGAGAGUUCAUAUCGAUAAAAAAGAUUGCGACCUCGAUGUUGGAUUAAGAUAUAAUUUUAGGUGCAGAAGCUUAAAUUUUGAGUCUGUUCGACUUUUAAAUUCUUACAUGAUCUGAGUUCAAACCGGUGUAAGCCAGGUUGGUUUCUAUCUUUAAUAAAUUAAAAUAUUUUAGUACGAAAGGACCAAAUAUUUAAAUAAAUAUAUUUUAUGAAAUGAAAAUUAUUAAUAUUUG
rnacentral:rRNA from 1 species